AUGGCAGAGGAAGGGGGCCGGGAGGAGAAGACGAUCGCCGUCGGAGCAGGAGACACGCAGGAGAAGAGCGGCGACGAGACGACGGCAGCGCUUCCAAAGCCUCCGAAGAAACAGGCGUGCAAGAGGCCCGCGGAGGACCGGCAGCUGCAGAACGCCGCCGCCGCCAAGAAGCGGGCUCACCACUCAAACCGCCAGCAUGUCGGAGCCCCAGCACCGCCACUACAACCACAAGGCAACGGCAUGCAGGCUCCGUUCAGGACGCCGGAAUAUUACGCUUGCCCGCCGUUGCCGCGGCCACCGGUGGCACACAACAACGGCCAGGCGCCGCAGCCGGCGUUGAACGGGCAGGUGCGCGUACCGCGGCAGCCGGCGGCAUACAACGGGCAGGUGCCGAUGAAGCCGGCGGCGUACAACAGGCAGAUGCCGGUGGCGCAGCAGCAGGUGGCGUUCAACGGCCAGGUGCGGCCGCCGUACGGGCCCGCAGGUGCCCCCAACAAUCACGGUCAGAAUCAGACAGUGAUGACGCGGCCUUCGUGCCCGGCCGGCCAGGCAGUGAACCCGCCGUCGGCCGUCCCGCGGAUGCAGAAGCAACCAGAGACGGAUGAGAUGCGCGAGAAGCGAGUGAUUCAGCAAAAUCUGGAGGAAUACCUCCGGUUACAGAGAGAGAUCUAUGCGGCCAAGCAGCGGAUGAUGCUCACGCAGAAGCAGCAACAGGCCAUGGUGUUCACGCAGCAGCAGCAGCAGCAGCAGCAGCAGCAAGCGCAGGCUAUGGCGUUCACGCAGCAGCAGCAGCAGCAAGCGCAGUCUAUGGCGUUCACGCAGCAGCACCAACAUGGCAUGGCGUUCACGCAGCAGCAGCAAGCGCAGGCUAUGGCGUUCACGCAGCAGCAGGCGACGGCGUUCGCGCGGCAGCAGCAACAGCCGACGGCGUACGCGCCGCAGCUGCAGCAGUACCGUCAGCAGCAGCAGCAGCAGUACCAUCAGCAACUGCCGUACUUGGGCGGCGCCAACGCGAACUACCAUCAUCAGGCGGGGGGCAUGGUCCCUCGGUUCUCGCUUGACGACUUCUACGCCAGCAACGCUGCGCAGCACUACGAGCGCUCUCGGAUGGUCCUCCCGGCGGCGAGUGAUUCACUGGGAGAGGCGGUGCGGGUGACGGCAGAGGCUUUGCCGGUCAGUACGGUGGUGAGUGCGGAGGGAGACGGGGAUCGCGGCAGCCAUGACCAGCAGGAGCCUGCCCGCGCAUCGGCGGAAGGCGAUGGCCCCCAGCAUGCAUGA
rnacentral:rRNA from 1 species